rnacentral:rRNA from 1 species
CUACAGGUCGCUGCAGUGGGGAAUAUUGCACAAUGGAGGAAACUCUGAUGCAGCAACGCCGCGUGGAGGAUGACACUUUUCGGAGCGUAAACUCCUUUUAUAUAGGAAGAAGAUGACGGUACUAUAUGAAUAAGCGCCGGCUAACUCCGUGCCAGCAGCCGCGGUAAUACGGAGGGCGCAAGCGUUACUCGGAAUCACUGGGCGUAAAGAGCGUGUAGGCGGAUUAAAAAGUCAGAAGUGAAAUCCUAUAGCUUAACUAUAGAACUGCUUCUGAAACUCUUAAUCUAGAAUAUGGGAGAGGUAGAUGGAAUUUCUGGUGUAGGGGUAAAAUCCGUAGAGAUCAGAAGGAAUACCGAUUGCGAAGGCGAUCUACUAGAACAUUAUUGACGCUGAGACGCGAAAGCGUGGGGAGCAAACAGGAUUAGAUACCCCGGUAGUC